GUUCCAGCAGCCGCGGUAAGACGAACCACACGAACGUUAUUCGGAAUUACUGGGCUUAAAGGGUGCGUAGGCUGUGCAGAAAGUUAGGUGUGAAAUCCCCCGGCUCAACCGGGGAAUUGCGCUUAAAACUACUGUGCUAGAGGAAUACAGAGGUAAGCGGAACUUCGGGUGGAGCGGUGAAAUGCGUUGAUAUCCGAAGGAACACCGGUGGCGAAAGCGGCUUACUGGGUAUUUUCUGACGCUGAUGCACGAAAGCUAGGGGAGCAAACGGGAUUAGAAACCCGCGUAGUCC
rnacentral:rRNA from 1 species